UGGGGAAUCUUGCGCAAUGCGCGAAAGCGUGACGCAGCAACGCCGCGUGGGGGAAGAAGGCCUUCGGGUUGUAAACCCCUUUCAGUUGGGACGAAGCUUCGCGGGUUAAUAGCCUGCUGGAGUGACGGUACCUUCAGAAGAAGCCCCGGCUAACUACGUGCCAGCAGCCGCGGUAAUACGUAGGGGGCUAGCGUUGUCCGGAAUCAUUGGGCGUAAAGCGCGUGUAGGCGGUCCGGUAAGUCCGCUGUGAAAGUCGGGGGCUCAACCCUCGGAUGCCCGGUGGAUACUGUCGGGCUUGAGUACGGAAGAGGCGAGUGGAAUUCCUGGGUGUAGCGGUGAGGAUGCGCAGAUAUCAGGGAGGAACACCAAUUGCGAAGGCAGCUCGCUGGGACGUUACUGACGCUGAGACGCGAAAGCGUGGGGGAGCAAACAGGAUUAGAUACCCUGGUAGUCCACGCUGU
rnacentral:rRNA from 1 species